UUCCAGUUGGUAAAAUUGGCUCUCCAAGACACUUUUCAGAGGCCUUUUCCCUGUAAGGUGCAAGUUCAAGGAUAUGUCCAAAGUAAUGCUGAAUGACAGGAUUAUGUAAAUGAUAAAGGAUGUCUGAGUUUAGAAUAAAGUAUUGUUCUUAGUGUAUAUAAAAUCUGAACCUGUAUUGAUAUACAAAUGGAAACAUUACCUACUUUUGUAAGGCUUUCUGGCACUAAAUAUAUCCAUAGUUUAAUACCUUAUGGAAGUAUGUUUUUUAUUUGAACAUGGGAUUUGCCAUAAGACUAUUCAUUUUGUUUUAUAACAUGUCCAUCAGUAGAAAGUUCAAGGAAAAAUAGUAACCUUUCUUUUUGAUAAAUCUAUGACAGGAAAUAUUUUUUAGUCAGUAGGUUAUAAGAAAAAAUAAGGGUUUCAGUUAAAAGAAAUUUUAUUGCAAAAUUUAGAAUUAUGUAUCAGGUCAUUGUCUUAUGAUGUAAAUGCCAUGCUGUACCAAAAUUUGACAGCAGAGCUGAAACUGCAUGCACAAAUACCAGAUAUGUAGGUAUUAUUCAGGUUGAAAUAUCAGCUGAAAUAACAAUGGUUAUUAAAUGAAUAGUAAUUUUUUUAAAUUAGUAUUGUAUUAAUGUUAUUAUAUUAUUUUUACUAUUUAUUGUUAUCAUUAUUUUUGUAAUUAUUAUUAUUAUUAUCAUUAAUAAUUAUUAGUCUUUCCCACAUUUAUGGCAUUACGGCACUGGUUGCAAUAUUAAAAAGGUAGCAAGACUUGAACAUAUUCUAGCUUGGCACACCAGUAAUGAUAAUUAACUUAUCAGUUAUAAAACCAUGGCCAUGGUAAAAUCUGCUAUUUAACCCCUUGUCUGGAGGUUUUAAACUGUCUACUGUAGUUUGUGAAUUUCAUUGCACACAGAUGGCUCCACAGGUGCUCAGCCUCCAACGAGUCAGUUAGUAGGCUCUAAUGACUGUGCCUGAUUUCCCCAUCCGUCGAAUUUGCAGGAAAGUGAUUUUUUCUAGUGUGUUGAUAUCUAUACUGUUAUCAUUGUUAUUGACAUUAUGGUUAAUAUAAUGUUAUGAAAAUACUAAUAACAAUAAAAAUAAUAGAAUAAGAAAAAAAUAUCUUGGCAAAUAUCAAGGAAAAUUAUAAACAGUUUGAGAUAGGUAGGACAAUAUUUGACUCCUUGGUGACUAAGCAGUUAUGUAGCCUUCUCUAUGUAAACAAUUUACAAAUUAAAAUAACAGUGGACAUGACUUGUGUUCAUGCUCUUCAUAGUAAUUUGAUUUAAUGUACCAAGAUGUGAUCAUAUUUGAUAAUCAAGAAUAUCUACAUUGCAGAGAUAAAGCCAUUUUUAGGGUUAUUCAAGAGUUUACUCCAACUACAAUAUCUGGGUCCCUGUGCCUAAGAUUCAGCUAUAAAGUAUUGGUAAUAUAUUAGGCAAAACCCUUUUCUUGUUAAUUUUAUAAUAAACAUGAAUAAUA